CGGACGGGUGAGUAAUGUCUGGGAAACUGCCUGAUGGAGGGGGGUAACUACUGGAAACGGUAGCUAAUACCGCAUAACGUCGCAAGACCAAAGAGGGGGACCUUCGGGCCUCUUGCCAUCGGAUGUGCCCAGAUGGGAUUAGCUAGUAGGUGGGGUAACGGCUCACCUAGGCGACGAUCCCUAGCUGGUCUGAGAGGAUGGCCAGCCACACUGGAACUGAGACACGGUCCAG
rnacentral:rRNA from 1 species